rnacentral:tRNA from 1 species
GCCCCCAUGGUGUAGCGGUUAGCACGCUGGCCUUUCACGCCUGAAGCAGGAGUUCGAUUCUCCUUGGGGGUA